CCGAACAAAUAUGAAAUACAUAAUAAUAACAUCAUAAACAAUAUUAAUAUGAAGACAUGAAAUUAACAAGAAUUUAUACGACAUGGUUCAUCGAUUCCUAAAAGUCGAGUUGACCGUAAAUUUUUAUGAAAGACCUACCUAAUAGGUUGUUUUAAUCUUGGAAUAAAUAUUCACUCAAAAGGUAAGUUUUAUUGUAUUUUGAACAAUUAAAUUAAAGUGUUGUUGUCAACUGAUGGAUAAUAAAAUCAAAUUGAUGAUCCAUGUCUUAGGAAAAAAUGAACAAUUUCAUUCGAAGUCGACAAAAAGUAAUAACAUUGUUAUUGGUAUAUAUUUAACCAUAAUGUUUAUAAACUAUGAAAAGCGAUUGGUCUCUUUAAUAUAAUUCUGCACUUUUAUAAAAAUUAUCGUGUUUAUGUUCAUAUUAAGCAAAGCAUUGCCGUACAUUAAAUUUUCAAGGUCGGUAGGUAUAUUUUCUUUUCUAAGUUCAAAAAAUAAUUUAUUCCUUUGCACUGUAUAAUUUUUACACGCGAGGAAAUAAUGUUGAGCAUUUUCAUAUAAAUAACCACAUUGACACAUUGCGUUAGUUUUAAUAUUUGCGUGAUACAGAUCCAUGUUCAGGGCACUGCAUUUGUUUCUUAAUCUUGCGUGUAAAACAUUUAAAUAUCUAUCGCCAAUAUUGAAAUAUGUAGGGGGUGAUUUGUUUUUAAAAUAUUUCUGUUUAAUUUUUAAUUUAAACAUAUUUAAAGAAAGUUCAUUUCUAAUACUUAAAUCGAGCGAAUUCCACAGUUUGAUACUAGAUGGAAUAAAUGAUUCCUGAUAAAGAGACAGUCUGCUAGAGGUUUGAUAUAUAUUUUGACUGCUUCGUAGAUUUUAGUUGUUCGUUUCUGCAACUGUAGGGGGUAUUAAAUCUAAUAAGUAUUCUGGGGCGUCCUCUUUCAUAAUUUUGUAAAAUAAAGUUAAUUUCUUCACUUCCCGUCUUGUCUUUAAUUUUUCCCAUCCCGUCUCUUAUAAGGCCUGUUCUAGAAUAUUCUUCUGAAGUUUGGGAUAAUUGUGGUCAGUUGAAUUCUGAAAGAUUAGAAAAAUUACAACUGGAAGCAGCACGUAUUGUCACUGGUCUAACAAGCUAUGCUAGCACUCAAUCACUUUAUAUAAACUUUAACUGCAGACUGUAUGUAAUGUUAACUGGAAGAAAAACUAUGUCCAUUUAUAAGUAAAAUACGGAAAAAGUGAAUUUUUUUUUUACAAAAUUUACUUCUG
rnacentral:lncRNA from 1 species